rnacentral:rRNA from 2 species
GGAUGAACGCUGGCUGUGUGCCUAAUACAUGCAUGUCGAGCGGAGUUCUUCGGAACUUAGCGGCGAAUGGGUGAGUAACACGUACUUAACGUGCCCCCUUGAUUGGGAUAACGCUGAGAAAUUAGCGCUAAUACCGGAUACUUAAAUAUCUCGCAUGAGGUAUUUAUAAAAGGAGCCUUUAAAGCUUCACAAGGGGAUCGGGGUGCGUAACAUUAGCUAGUUGGUGAGGUAAUGGCUCACCAAGGCGAUGAUGUUUAGCGGGGUUGAGAGACUGAUCCGCCACACUGGGACUGAGAUACGGCCCAGACUCCUACGGGAGGCAGCAGUAGGGAAUUUUCCACAAUGGGCGAAAGCCUGAUGGAGCGACACAGCGUGCAGGAUGAAGGCCUUCGGGUUGUAAACUGCUGUUAUAAGGGAAGAAAAAGUCGAGGAGGAAAUGCCUUGACCUUGACGGUACYUUAUCAGAAAGCAACGGCUAACUAUGUGCCAGCAGCCGCGGUAAUACAUAGGUUGCAAGCGUUAUCCGGAAUUAUUGGGCGUAAAGCGUCUGUAGGUUGUUUGUUAAGUCUGGUGUGAAAACUUGGGGCUCAACCCCAAAUUGCAUUGGAUACUGGCAAACUAGAAUUGUGUAGAGGUUAGCGGAAUUCCUUGUGAAGCGGUGGAAUGCGUAGAUAUAAGGAAGAACAUCAACAUGGCGAAGGCAGCUAACUGGACAUAUAUUGACACUGAGAGACGAAAGCGUGGGGAGCAAACAGGAUUAGAUACCCUGGUAGUCCACGCCGUAAACGAUGAUGAUUAGCUGAUGGGGAACUCAUCGGCGCAGCUAACGCAUUAAAUCAUCCGCCUGAGUAGUAUGCUCGCAAGAGUGAAACUUAAAGGAAUUGACGGGGAUCCGCACAAGCGGUGGAGCAUGUGGUUUAAUUUGAAGAUACGCGUAGAACCUUACCCACUCUUGACAUCUUCUGCAAAGCUAUAGAGAUAUAGUGGAGGUUAACAGAAUGACAGAUGGUGCAUGGUUGUCGUCAGCUCGUGUCGUGAGAUGUUCGGUUAAGUCCUGCAACGAGCGCAACCCUUGUCCUUAGUUAAAYGUUCUAGGGAGACUGCCCGGGUAACCGGGAGGAAGGUGGGGACGACGUCAAAUCAUCAUGCCUCUUACGAGUGGGGCAACACACGUGCUACAAUGGAUGGUACAAAGAGACGCAAUACGGCGACGUGGAGCAAAUCUCAAAAAACCAUUCUCAGUUCGGAUUGUAGUCUGCAACUCGACUACAUGAAGUCGGAAUCGCUAGUAAUCGUAGAUCAGCUACGCUACGGUGAAUACGUUCUCGGGUCUUGUACACACCGCCCGUCACACCAUGGGAGCUGGUAAUGCCCGAAGUCGGUUUUGUUAACUACGGAGACAACUGCCUAAGGCAGGACUGGUGACUGGGGUGAAGUCGUAACAAGGUAUCCCUACGAGAACGUGGGGAUGGAUUACCUCCUUUCUACGGAGUACACCUUUCAGUUUAGUGCUGAAAAAUACAACAAAAAUUAUUAAAUAUUAACGACAAAUAAUAGGUCAUGUCAUAUAUCUAGUUUUGAGAGAACUUUCUCUCUUUGUUCUUUGAAAACUGAAUAGUAAAGUAAAGAUAUUAAAUUAAUAUAACAACGACAUCAAAAAAUAAAUUAGUCAAUUUGUUUUGUGAUACCGAGUUAAUUAUUAUUCUAAAAAUAAUAAUUUAUUGAAAUGUCUUUGAAUACAUCAAACAAAUAGGUAAAUAUUGUUACAACUUUUAAAUAAGUAAGAGUUUGUGGUGGAUGCCUUGGGUCUGGAAGUCGAUGAAGGACGUGAUUACCUGCGAUAAGCCUCGUGGAGCUGGAUAUGAGCUACGAUACGGGGAUUUCCGAAUGGGGAAACCUAGCUAGAGUAAUUUCUAGUUGCUGUAUAAUGAAUCAAAUAGUUAUACAGACGAGACACGUUGUGAACUGAAACAUCUUAGUAGCAACAGGAAGAGAAAAUAAAUAAUGAUUCCAUUAGUAGCGGCGAGCGAACGUGGAAGAGCCCAAACCGACAUUAGUCGGGGUUGUAGGACUAUCUACAUGAAGUUACAAAUCUUUAUCAUAGCAGAAUAGCGUGGGAAAGCUAAGCAAAGAGGGUGAUACUCCCGUAAGCGAAAUGRUAAAGACUUCUGAUAGUAUCCUGAGUAGGGCGGGGCACGUGAAACCCUGUCUGAAUCUGCCGGGACCAUCCGGUAAGGCUAAAUACUAACCAGACACCGAUAGUGAACUAGUACCGUGAGGG